UCAGAUUACUGUAGUUCAGUGAAAACUUGCUAAUCAGCCAUCAUUUGACAUCAUGUGUACUGAAAUAAGGGAACACCUAAAACAUUAUAGGCAGUGUGCCUUGAGGACCAGGGCUGAGAAACACAGAAAUGACAGUAGUAAUCCGUCAUGGGCUAGAAAAGGCAGAAAUAAUUAGUUAGGCAUAAGAAGACAAUCAAGGACAAGGAAGGAACGCUGGAAUACUACUCACAAGGUUUUCAAUAAUUUGGUGAGGAAGCAGACACGGAAGGGAGCUGCAAUUCUAGUGAGCACAGGCAAGAAGAGCCCCUGUUGCUCGUUGUCUGUGGGACUCAGCUCUGCCCCCUAUCAGUGAGACACGGAACACCGCGUGCCACCCACGAUGAAGUGCGCCAGUUUGUGCUGAAGCCAAAAAGGCAAGAAGGCCUGGAAGAUUCUCUUCCUCUGAUUGUUUGUUUGACCUGAAAAGUCUGAGAACCCUGCACAGCCCAUCGCGGUGACACAUCUUC